CAACACCCAAUUUCCCUGAAGGAAUGCUGGGGACACCGGGUGCCCCCUCGAGACCAAGGGGCAGACUUGCGAGGUGCUCUGGCUUCUCACAGGCUUCGAAGGGCCCUUGUUGGUGGCCCGCACCUUCUUGAGCUGGCCGGGGAGACACAGUCCUGGGUAAAAUUGCAUCCUUCUCCAACAAAGUUGUUAAUAUUGUCUCUCAGAAAAUUUCUUGGAGGCCCAGUUGUGGCUCAGUGGGUUAAGAACCCGACACAGUGUCAGUGAGGAUGCGGGUUCCAUCCCUGGCCUCACUCAGUGGGUUAAGGAACCAGUGUGGCCAUAUGUGGCAUGGGUCACAGACAUGGCUCGAUCUGGCAUUGCUGUGGCGGUGGUGUAGGCCGGCAGCUGCAGCUCCAAUUCAACUCCUAGCCUGAGAGCUUUCAUAUGCCACAGGUGUGGACCUAAAAGUAAAUAAAUAGAAAUAAAAAUGUCUUAGGAUGGGUCGGGCUAGUUGUGUGAUGGAAGUACCAUCUGGGACUCCUUCCAUAAUGCACCAAGAGCUGCAUUCUUGUUAGAGUGAGGGGAAAGAGGGAGGGGGUGUAGAACAUGGCUUUACAGUUGACCUGUGUGACCUUGGGCAGAUGCCUCUGCAAAGAGCAGGCUGGGCUGCAGUGGGGGUGAUUUCUUGGGUACCCCUCACCAUUGCUUUCCAUAAAAAUGCCAUCACAGAAACUCACCCUGAGUUAAGGGGAAGAGCUCUUAAGGCGAAUAAAUACUUGCUUUUCCCGUCUCCGUUUUUCUCAUUAUUUCUCCAUCAUGUGAGUCCGUUACUUCUGUUCCUCUCUUUUACUCUCUGGUUCGCACUUCCUGCUUCUUCCACUCAUUUUUGCUGUGGUUUCCUCCAUCGUUUCUCCCUCUUUGUCAUUCCCUGAACGUUUGUUAUGAUCUGUAUUUAUUGAGUUAGGUUUUAUAAGCUCUGACCUUCAAUGCGGCCACAUUGAAUGUUUUACAAAGCCAUCCCAACCCAGAAAGAACAGUCCCACUGACAUUUGAAAUUGCUUUUAGAACUGUACCUAAGCCUCAAAGCUGCUUUUCUCAGGGGACCUCGGGAGAGCAAGGUCUCCCCCCCUGCACUAAAACUAGCCCGCAGUGGCAACGACCCUGUGGCCUUGUUCGCCUCCAACAAGGAUGUUAGUGGGAGCUGGUGCGCUGGUGGAGGACGAGGAGGCUCUGCCGAAAUACCUCUCUGCCUUGGUCUUCGAUGGGAGUUGCAAAGAGAUGGACAUGUUUUGAAAAUAAUUCCAGGCUGAAAUGUCGCUGUGAUUACACAUAUGUUCGUAGGUAGAUGAGAGUCAAUUCAAGGUCAUUAAAACAUUAGGCUGUUCGGGAAGAUGAGCUCAGCUCACUCAGAAUUUCAGGUCUAGCAGGUUAGCUUUUUGUAGGUCCAAGAAAAUGCUCCGCUUGGCACCCAGCCGCCUUGGCUGCCCUGCAGAAACUCUGUGCCUUUGAUACUCAGUGAAAAAUGCACAUCUGGAAUGAAAUCAGACCUCAGCCCUCGCAAGCUUCUGCUCCUUGGUAUUUAAUUAUUAUGACUUGGAUGAUGUGACUCAGGGUAAAGACUUUAUUUUUAGCAAUGAUUAGAACUGCUCUGGAUGAGGAGAUCAGGAAUGCUGUUUAUUUUUUUUUAAUUGGCGCAUGUGACUAAAUAUAUUUUUCAACUCUUGAAUGAACAAAUCUGACACUUAAGAAAACACAUUAAAAACGGGCGUUUUUUAGACUGCUUUGGGGGGGAGUUCCCUGGUGGCUCAGCGGGUUAAAGAUCAGGUGUUGUCACUGCUGAGGCUCGGGUCACUACUGGGGCAUGGGUUCGAUCCCCGGGCCCGGGAACUUCCAC
rnacentral:lncRNA from 9 species